AACGAACGCUGGCGGCGUGCCUAACACAUGCAAGUCGAACGUGAUUGGAAGCUUGCUUCCAUGAAAGUGGCGCACGGGUGAGUAACGCGUAGAUAAUCUACCUGAUGAUGCGGGAUAACACUUCGAAAGGGGGGCUAAUACCUGAUAAGCCCACGGGGUCUUCGGACUCUGCGGGAAAAGGGGGGGACCUUCGGGCCUUCCGUCAUGAGAUGAGUCUGCGUACCAUUAGCUAGUUGGUAGGGUAAAGGCCUACCAAGGCGACGAUGGUUAGCUGGUCUGAGAGGAUGAUCAGCCACACUGGAACUGAGACACGGUCCAGACUCCUACGGGAGGCAGCAGUGGGGAAUUUUGCGCAAUGGGGGAAACCCUGACGCAGCAACGCCGCGUGAGUGAUGAAGGCCCUUGGGUCGUAAAGCUCUGACAGAGGGAAAGAAGUGCAGGGGAGCUAAUAUCUCCCUUGCUUGACGGUACCCUCAAAGGAAGCACCGGCUAACUCCGUGCCAGCCGCCGCCGUAAGAC
rnacentral:rRNA from 1 species